GACGAACGCUGGCGGCGUGCCUAAUACAUGCAAGUAGAACGCUGAAGGAGGAGCUUGCUCUUCUGGAUGAGUUGCGAACGGGUGAGUAACGCGUAGGUAACCUGCCUGGUAGCGGGGGAUAACUAUUGGAAACGAUAGCUAAUACCGCAUAAGAGUAGAUGUUGCAUGACAUUUGCUUAAAAGGUGCAAUUGCAUCACUACCAGAUGGACCUGCGUUGUAUUAGCUAGUUGGUGGGGUAACGGCUCACCAAGGCGACGAUACAUAGCCGACCUGAGAGGGUGAUCGGCCACACUGGGACUGAGACACGGCCCAGACUCCUACGGGAGGCAGCAGUAGGGAAUCUUCGGCAAUGGACGGAAGUCUGACCGAGCAACGCCGCGUGAGUGAAGAAGGUUUUCGGGUCGUAAAGCUCUGUUGUAAGAGAAGAACGAGUGUGAGAGUGGAAAGUUCACACUGUGACGGUAUCUGACCAGAAAGGGACGGCUAACUACGUG
rnacentral:rRNA from 1 species